AAAAUCACCACGCUUGCCUCGAAAAGACGCUUGGUAAGCAAGAAAACGCGCGAAAAGAAAAUCCGGGUGGCGACCCCACCUUUAAAUUCCCGCAACAAGCGCUAUGACGUCACAUAUUUUCGACAGCA
rnacentral:lncRNA from 1 species